GAACUGUUCAUGGUCCAAAGUUUGCCUC
rnacentral:piRNA from 1 species